CCUCGCUCUCAGCGGCGGCCAGGUGCGUGCGCGUCCGCGCUCCCGGCGGCGGGGUUCCUGGGGAGCCACCCCUGUCCCUCAGAGGCCACGGGGGCUCGUGUUUGCGAGUGUGGACUUUCCAGUUAGACAGACUUGGUUCAGCACCGCCUCCGCCACACCCUCGCCUGGGAUCCUAAACAAGCCGCAUCUUCUCUGCAUCGUAGUGUGCUUGUCUCUGUGAUGGGAGAGUGUAGGGAUAAUAGUGCCUGCCUCGUGUCAAGAGGCUUUUUCGGAUGCGAGGGAUGGAAAGCGCCCAGCACAAUUUGUGGCACGUGGUAGCUGUUCCAUAAAUAGCAUUCUGUAGUUGGGCCGUGAUUAGCAAGGAGGCUUAGUGUACAGACGUCCCUGGGAUUUUUAAACCUAUCCACACCUGGGCAUGAAUGGCUAAUGACACCCCUCUUCUGGGAGCAGAGUUUGGAGAGAAGAGGAGGCUCUAGAUAAUGAGUGAUCCUAGGCUGAAAGUCAGAGACAUACUUAAGUUCUAAUUCUAGCUGCUCUGCUUCUGACCUCCUGUGGGGCCUUAGGCAACUUGCACUCCUUCUCUGGGCCUUGGUUUCCCCAGCUUUGACAGCUGAUGUCCCUGAGUCACGAAGGGGUACUUCUGGCCCACGAAGCCUGACAAAGGACAGGUUUUGCCAAGGCUCUUCAGAGAGGUGCCCCCCGGGGUAAGGUGAUCCAAAUGAGCCUGCUCUUCCAGGAAGGGAAGCAUUGGCACAAGGGCUCCCCUCUUGCCUGCAGGACCUGUGGGCACAGACAGUGGCAGCUACCGUGCCUCACACCAAAGCAUCCUAUAUCCUCCAGGUAAGGGUCCAUUUGAGGCAGGCUGGUCAGCUCCCCCUCAAGUCCUUCCCGCUGGUCCCCAUCCUCCUCUCCACCCAGCCUGCCACCUCCAGGCAUCGGCCCAUCACCUCCCACCUGGACCAAGCUCAUUCAUUAUAAGCCCACUGCUCUAGCCUCCACGCCCCCACCAUUCCCAACACGCCCCUGCCCUCCAUCUUCCUGGAGCACACACGGCCCAACCCUGUAAAGCCCUUCUGUGUCUCUCCAUUACACAGACCAAAGUUCACGAGCAGCCCAUCAGGAAUCGCCGUGAAUGUUGUUAAUGUGCAGUGGCUCACGCCUGUAAUUCUACCACUUUGGGGGGCCAAGAUGGGAGGAUUGCUUGAGGCCAGGCCAGGAGUUCGAGACCGGCCUGGUCAACACAAUGAGAUCCCCCCAUCUCUAAAAAAAAAAAAAAAAAAAAAGGAAUCACCAGUAAUGAUGGGAUAUAGGCAUUAAGGUUACGGAAGAAGAUGUCCAUAUUUUUUAGAGAUGCAUCCUAGCAUAUGUAAGGGGUCUGCAAUUUGUUUAAAAACAAUUCAGCCAGAGGGAAAGAGAGCCAAGCAAUUAGGAAUAACUGAAACAUACGUGGCAAAUUCUUGAUAACAUUUGAACCUGGAUGGUGGGUAUGUUGGGGUGCAUUGUACUUUAUACUCUAUGUUUGAAAUAUUUUAUGUUAAAAAUGAUUAAAGGGGCCGGGCGCGGUGGCUCACACCUGUACUCCCAGCACUUUGGGAGGCCGAGGCGGGUGGAUCACGAGGUCAAGAGAUCAAGACCAUCCUGGCCAACAUGGUGAAACCCUGUCUCUACUAAAAAUACAAAAAUUAACCGGCCGUGGUGGCGAGUGCCUGUAGUCCCAACUACUUGGGAGGCUGAGGCAGGAGAAUCACUUGAACCCGGCAGGCAGAGAUUGCAGUGAGCCGAGAUUGUGCCACUGCACUCCAGCCCGGCAACAGAGUGAGACUCCGUCUCAAAAAAAAAAAAAUGAUUAAAGGGGCUGGGCACGGUGGCUCUGCUUGAAAUCCCAGCACUUUGGGAGGCCAAGGUGGGUGGAUCACUUGAGGUCAAGAGUUCAAGACCAACCUUGCCAACACGGUGAAACCCCGUCUCUACUAAAAUACAAAAUUAACUAGGCGUGGUGGCAUACGCCUGUAAUCCCAGCUACUCGGGAGGCUGAGGCUGGAGAAUCACUUAACCCAGGAGGCAGAGGUUGCAGUGAGCCGAGAUUGCGGCACUGCACUCCAGCCUGGGAGACAGAGCAAGACUCCAUCUCAAAAUAAAUAAAUAAAUAAAUAAAUAAAUAAAAGCAAGGCAUGGUGGUGCUCACUUGUAGUCCCGGCUCCUCAGGAGGCUGAGGCAACAGGUUCACUUGAGCCCGGGAGAUGGAAGCUGCAGUGAGCCAAGAUCACGCCACUGCACUCUAGCCUGGGCAACAUAGACCCUGCCUCAGGAAAAAAAAAAAUAAAGAUUAAAGGCUGUAGAUUAAAGGCUGGGCAUGGCUGGGCAUGGUGGCUUAAGCCUGUGAUCCCAGCACUUGGGAGGCCAAGGCGGGCGGAUCACCUGAGGUAAGGAGUUUGAGAUCAGCCUAGCCAACAUGCUGAAACCCUGUCUGUACCGAAAAUACAAAAAUUAGGCCAGGUGCAGUGGCUCACGCCUGUAAUCCCAGCACUUUGGGAGGCUGAGGCAGGCAGAUUGCUUGAGGUCAGGAGUUCGAGACCAGCCUGACCAACCAGUCUCUAGUAAAAUACAAAGUUAGCCAGGCGUGGUGGCACACGCCUAUAAUCCCAGCUACUCGGGAGGCUGAGGCAGGAGAAUUGCUUGAACCCGGGAGGCAGAGGUUGCAGUGAGCUGAGAUCGCGCCACCCAGGCUGGAGUGCUGUGGCACGAUCUUGGCUCACUGCAACCUCCACCUCUUGGGCUCAAGCGACUCUUCUGCCUCAGCCUCCUGAGUAGCUGGGAUUAUAGGCAUGAGCCACCACGCCCAGCUAAUUUUUGUAUUUUUAGUAGAGACGGGGUUUCACCAUGUUGGCCAGGCUGGUCUUGAACUCCUGACCUCAGGUGAUCCACCCACCUCAGCCUCCCAAAGUGCUGGGAUUACAGGCAUGAGCCACCGCCGCCUGGCCUCUACAAAAAUUUUAAAAAUUAGCUGGGCAUAGUGGCAGGCGGCUUCGGUCCCAUCUUCUCAGGAGGCUGAGGUGGAAGGAUCUGCUUGAGCCCGGGGGUCAAGGCUGCAGUGAACCGAGAUAACACCAGUGUACUCCCACCUGGGUAACAGAGUGAGACCCUGUCUCAAAAACAAAAUAAAACAACAGCAACAAAAAAAAACAUGCCUAAGACCCGUAUUGGUUUGCUAGGCCUACCAUAACAAAAUACCACAGACUGGGUGGCUUAAAAAAACAGAAAUUUAUUUUCUCACAGUUUCGUGGUAGUUUUCUGGAAGUCCAAGCUCCAGGUGCUGCAGGGCUGGACUCUUCCAAGACCUCUUGCCUUGGCUGGCAGAUGACCACCCUCUUGUGGGCUCCUAACAUGAUCUUUUGCUGUGUGUGCACCUGCCUGGUGUCUCUCUUUUCAUAGGUCAUAGUCACAUUGCAUUAGGGCCCAGCCAUAGGACUUCAUUUUACCUAAUUACCUGUCUGAAGACCCUACCUCCAGGCCCUUGUCCACCCACCUCCCUGUGUACGAGAAAGCACUCUGUGUAUCCCUCAGAAAGGAGUGCUUCCUGUUCUGUUGAAAAUCAAAGCCUUCUUCUGCAGCAUUUCCCCAGAUCGCCCAGGGAUGACGCAUCUCACCACAUUCCUCCAGACUGCCCAGACCUGGGUCACGCAUCACAAUCUGCCACCUUGGAGCUGUCUAUGUACCUGUUGCCCCAGGGGCCAGCAGGCUCCAUGAACAGGUGUCGCCUGGUUUCUUCCAUGUACCCACCCAGGUCCAGGCCCUGGUGACACAGCCUUGAGCAAAACAGUGAGGUCCCUGUCC
rnacentral:lncRNA from 10 species